AGCCGGGUCCCCCCCCCCACACCCACUCCUCCCGGCGGCGCGGACCUCUCCCGCGGAGCCCUGGGUCUGCAUUCCUUUGCGUUUACCACGGACUUGGGGCGGGAUCAAAGGGAAAGUGGCCCGAGCCUGUUUAAUCAAGGGCUUGUGGACCGAAACCAAGCCUGAGGUGGCGGAGGGCACGCGGGUGAGGGGCCGAGGACGAGAAAGGGUCGGUCCUGGGCGCUGCGCCUUCCCUCCAGCAGGGCGCGGAGCCUCAGGCACCGGGAGGGCUGCACUGACCCGCAGUUCUGCCAGAGGUCAGGCCAGACUGCGCCCGGCGCGGGGAGACACCGAGAAGGCCAGCCUUUCUUCGGGAGGCUGCUUAGCGCUUGUGACCAUAUUUGGUCUGGUGAAAAGGCAUCUUGGCUGCUUGGCCUUCAAUUGUCUGCUAGAGCGCAGACGGUGCCCAGAAAGUGCCUGUUGCCGGAGACGCAGCUUCGCCCACGGGUGGGUUGUAAACAACCUUCAAAUCAUUCACCAAUCCUUCAUUUCCUCCACGGGGUGAAGGGCCAGAAGGGGUAAAGAAGAAACCGGAUCAAAGCUGGGUGCUGGAAGGGGAGACCAGUUGCGCCCCCCUCCCCCGCGACAUCCGCGCGGGUAGUGGGAGGAUUGGAAUGUCCCUGACGCCCUCCAGGGAGCCUGCAGCCAGGAUGGAACACAGGCAGGUGGCUGGGAGUAGAGAGGGUGCUCCAGUGACCCGGAAAAAGCCACCCACCCUCCCACUGCCUGGAUAAGGGCAAGGGGGAGACCCCCGCCUCGGGGAGGAGGUCUGGCCUGGAGAGACAGCUGCGGGGAAGUGGGAGGCGGCCUCGCCCUCCGCAGCAGCUCAAUUCCUUCCCUCCCUCGACCCUUUUCCCUUGCCCGAAAAGAAGAUAUGGCUGCAAGGUAAGUUAGGCUCCAGGAGGCCCCCACCCUUCCCACUGACCCAAAUAGAGGUUUAUUAAAGAAGCCAAGGGGGCGAUAUAUGUUCCGCCCUUUGCUCAGCACUGGGCCACCUACACACCGCUUGUUAAAUAGAAUAAAAUUUUAUUAAGUUCAGGCAUUGUGCCUCAUCGCUUUUAUAAGGGUGAAACAAAGUCAAAAUUAAAAUCUCAGAGUUGAAGAAGAAAAGUUUAAGGAAAGACAAGGCCAUUUUCUUCUCUUUUUUUUCUCUUUUCUCCCCCCACCCUUUGGUACAGGGAUUGAACCUGGGGACACAACACUGAGCCACAUCCCCAGCCCUUUCUAUUUUUUAUUUUGAGACAGGAUGUUGCUGCUAAGUUUCUCAGGGUCUCCCCAAGUUGCUGAGGCUCUUCUAGAACUUGCCAUUCUCCUGCCUCAGCCUCUGAAGUCACUGGAAUUACAGGUGUGUGCCAUUGUGCUAGGCUGAAUGGCUGCAUCCUAUCCCAAAUUGAGAUCCAAAGUAUCUGUACAUGGAAGUGCUCUUGUUCCAUUCCUCACAGACUGGGGAAAAGCAGGGCUGCUUUAGAGGAAGACAUGGGCAUGGAUGAACUUCAAGAUAAGUGGAACUUGGGUUGAUCCAGAAGCCCCUGAAACUUCAUGUUUCCCAUGCCCACAGGACUGGCAGAGGGGAAGGGAGAACCACUAUAGUUCACUUGUGAGUAGAGUCUUUUUGAACUAUCUUCAGAGGACACAGCAGUCGCAACAUGAGGAAAUGAGCUAUGGAACUAGAGGCCAGCCAUGACUAGGACCAUAUGGUCACUAAUUCAGAAGCUGUGGGACUGAUUUGAUGGUGAAAGGAUGGAAACUUGAGACCAUGCCUGCUCUAGGAAGGCCUUCACUGCAGAAGGAAGGCUGACUGCAGACACCUCUGCAACCUCCCUACCAAACAGCAGCAGAACACAGUGAGCCCAGCCCAGAGGGCAGAAUCAUGAGCAAAUAAAAUAGGAUUAGGAGCUCUUGGAGAAAAGUGAAGAGGACUUGGUUUUCCUGGAGCCGGUACCAGGGAUUGAACUCAGGGGCACUCCACCACUAAACCACAUCCCCGGCCGUAUUUUGUAUUUUAUUUUGAGACAAGGUCUCACUGAGUUGCUUAGCACCUCGCAGUUGCUGAGGCAGGCUUUGAACUCACAAUCCUCCUGCCUCAGCCUCCCAAGCCGCUGGGAUUACAGAAAUGUGACCAGCACCAGGCAGCAUUUGGUGUUCUUAAUUGCAUCAUGUACAUGAUAAGAAGGAAGAUGAUAAUAGACGGACCGACCAAUGUUAUCUAUUGCUUCAGUAGAUAACACUGGGUCAAAGAAGAGAGGAAUUCCUAAAAUUCAGUCUUUGCCCAACUUUGGUACAUUGUUUUUGAGACAAGUUCUUGCUAAGCUGCUGAAGCUGGCCUCAAACUUCCAAUCCUCCUGCCUCAGUCUCCCAGUAGCCUGGCUAACUGCGUGUUUUCUGAAUGCACACUGUGUGCCAGAAGCAGCCUAUCAGGCCCACUUGGAAGAGUUUACCACCUGAUGAGGCACUCAUUGGUUGACUCCUCCCUCUGCCAGGGGAGUCCCAGGUCUGGUUCCACCAGCUAUUCAAGCCACUCCUCUUCCCUGUCUUGUUUCCCUGUUGUCGGGAGGAGCCAGGUGUGUGCAAGCUCUACCAUGACCUCUCUGUCUGCAUAUUGUCCUGGCUCCAGUUAGGCCACUUGUCAUACCUGGUCAAGAAAGGUCAAUGUGUGGUUUGUAGCCAAAGAAAAAGGAAGAGGACCUGCCAAACCAAAAUGGGGUACAAAAAGGGGGUCCAGGAAGGGCAUCUGUCCCCACAGGAGAGCCAACACCGGUGGGCACAAGCCCAACUCACACAUGUUUAAAAAUGACAAAAUGCUCUUUUAAAAAUUCCUAUUUCCAGACGAUCUUAAAUAAGAGGGUGGAUUCGUUCUCACAAGGUGUUUGAACAUAAUAAAUCCUACUUUGAUCACAUGA